GAGGGUAUAGCUCAAGUGGCAGAGCACUUGUUUAGCAUGCACGAGGUCCUGGGUUCAAUCCCCAGUACCUCCU
rfam:Camelus ferus unplaced genomic scaffold scaffold258, whole genome shotgun sequence.